UACGAAGGGGGCGAGCGUUGUUCGGAAUUACUGGGCGUAAAGGGCGUGCAGGCGGCUCUGAAAGUCAGAUGUGAAAGCCCCGGGCUUAACCUGGGAAUUGCAUUUGAUACUCUGGAGCUUGAGUACGGGAGAGGAGAGUGGAAUUCCCAGUGUAGAGGUGAAAUUCGUAGAUAUUCGGAAGAACACCAGUGGCGAAGGCGGCUCACUGGCCCGUUACCGACGCUCAGGCGCGACAGCGUGGGGAGCAAACGGG
rnacentral:rRNA from 1 species